CCCGGCUGAUCCUCACGGCCGACGUCGGCGCCCACGCUCUCCGAACCAGGCCGGGCCAUAGGGCUGGCGAGCUCUAGGCAUGACCUGACCUCGCUUCGCUGCGGCCACACCCUAGAUCGGCUGCAGGUAACCAACAAGUCAUCGAACCUCUCAGGCCAUUUUCCUCGUGUCACGUGCUUGGUGACUGCAGCUGGUCUCCUUCGGGCGUCGUCCACGAACUCAGAGGGUCUUGCUUCUGCCGGACGAGAGGCCCAUUGGACGCGUGUAAGGCUUACUUAAUUUCAUUGUGAUAAAGAGUUACGGUAAUAGUAAUUCAUACUGCUUCUAUAACCCUGUCGGAUGUGUUGUAAUUUUCAAACAUUGUAAGUAGGGAUUUGUAAUAAAGGUUGUGAGGAU